ensembl:lncRNA
GGGGGGGGCAGGUGCCCAGCCUCCCUCGCCACCCCCAGAUCUCUCCUGGAAAACGGGAUUUUGCAGCCUCCCCUGGUUGCCCCCAAACCCGCUGGACUGAGCCGGGCCGGGACCUGCCGGCGGGAGGGGGGCCGGGUCCCGUCCCGGCUGCUCGGGUUUGUUUNCCCCCCCCAGCCAGCUCUGCGGCGACCCCUGGUGGGGAGCGCGGGUCCCUGCGCCCCGGAGGGGGCGGCCGCGGUCCCCCUGCCUGGGUCCCUCCCGCUGCCCCCCUGACCGCCCCGUCCCUUGCCCGCAGAGCUCACCGAGCGCCAUGGCCAGAGCACCGCAGGAGGGGAGCCGCGCUCAGCCGACAGCCGCCCUGCCCGGGGACCCAGCCUUCCUGCUGGGGGGGGCGGUGGCCGUGCCGCCCGCCGUCUGCCCGGGCAGCCUCGCCCUGCCACCCCGGCUGAACUGCAGCCUGUGCCCCAACGGCCCCGCUCCCUGCUCGCUCUACCGCUGUGUCCGGGGGCCGGAGCCCCCCCGGCGCUGGGACGCCCCCGAGGCUGGCAGGACACAUGGAGAGCUCCAGCCCAUGCAGGAUGAGGGCCCCAACAGGGAGCAUCCCCCCACCGAGCCAGCCCCAGAGGGCACAGUGUCCAACAGUGGCCUCCCUGGGGAGCCCCUGCACCCGGAGCAUGCACUGGGGGCCCAGCUGCGGUGCAUGGGCGAUGCCUUCCACCAGGCCCAUGAGAGGCAGUGGCAGGAGCGGCAGUGGCAGGGAGCGCUCUGGGCCCGUUUCUGCCACUUCGUCUCUCAGCUGCUGGGCGCCUUCUACAACAUGCCCAUGGACGUGAUGCCGGAGCUGCAGCCCAACUAGCUCCUUGUGGGGCUGGAGCCGGGGGGGAGGCCCCCCCGCCGUGGACUGCGGAGCCGCUUGGCAAAAUGUAGCAACUUCCAGAGCUCAUAGCACCCCCACCACCCCGGCAAGCCAUGGCCCCUGCAGGCUGGGCCCCAGGCUGCUGCCCCCCCGGGCACCCACUGUCUAUUUAUUUAUUUAUUUUCGAGUACUGACUGGGAGCCCCACAGUGCAGGGCCCCAUGGCGGGGAGCGGCCCCCGCAGGCUCCCCCCACUGUUCCUCAGGGAGCGCCACGCAAUUGUGACGGGGGGCGGACAUGCAUGUGACGGCCACAGGCAUUGCCUCUGCCUCACCCCCGACUCCCCUCAGGACAGCGGGAAGAGCUGGGCUCCGGCAGUGGCAGGGAGGGCAAACUCUGAAGUGGGCUCAGCCAGCCGUCCUGCUGCUUCCUCCCCAUGCCAUGGGCAGCCUGAGGAGUGGGGGGGACCCCGCCUGUCCCGUUGCCUCCCCACGCACAGCUUGCUGCUGUGGCUCCGGGCAUGGCCAGCCCUGAGCCCGGCGCUGCGCCCAGAGCAGGGGGGGCCUUGGCAGGGGCGGCAGGAGCACUGUAAAUACUGUACAUAGUGACACUGUACAGGGAGAGGCGUUGUAUAUACAGACCGGUACCGGGCCGUGCUGUACAUAGGGGGACACUGUACAUACAGGGACACGCUUGCUGUACAUGAGCAGUGACUUUGGUUUUCUACGUUUCCUUUUCAAUAAAACUGGAUUUAAGCAAAGAGGCCUCUGUGUC